GCUCCCGUAGCUCAGGGGAUAGAGCGUCGGUUUCCUAAACCGUGCGUCGCAGGUUCGAAUCCUGCCGGGGGCA
rnacentral:tRNA from 1 species